UGAGUAACCUGCCCUUGACUCUGGGAUAAGCCUGGGAAACUGGGUCUAAUACCGGAUAUGACUCCUCAUCGCAUGGUGGGGGGUGGAAAGCUUUUUGUGGUUUUGGAUGGACUCGCGGCCUAUCAGCUUGUUGGUGAGGUAAUGGCUCACCAAGGCGACGACGGGUAGCCGGCCUGAGAGGGUGACCGGCCACACUGGGACUGAGACACGGCCCAGACUCCGUACGGGAGCAG
rnacentral:rRNA from 1 species